rnacentral:rRNA from 1 species
UACAGAGGUCUCAAGCGUUUGUUCGGAUUCAUUGGGCGUAAAGGGUGCGUAGCGGCGCGGUAAGUCGGGUGUGAAAUCUCGGAGCUUAACUCCGAAACUGCAUUCGAUACUGCCGUGCUUGAGGACUGGAGAGGAGACUGGAAUUCAUGGUGUAGCAGUGAAAAUGCGUAGAGAAUCAUGAGGGGAGACCCAGUGGCGAAAGGCGGGGUCUCUGGGACAGUUUCCUGACACUGAGACACGAAGGCCCAGGGGGAGCAAAACGGGG